rnacentral:rRNA from 1 species
UACGGGGGGAGCAAGCGUUGUUCGGAUUUACUGGGCGUAAAGGGCGCGUAGGCGGCGUGACAAGUCACUUGUGAAAUCUCCGGGCUUAACUCGGAACGGUCAAGUGAUACUGUCGUGCUAGAGUGCGGAAGGGGCAACUGGAAUUCUUGGUGUAGCGGUGAAAUGCGUAGAUAUCGGGAGGAACACCAGUGGCGAAGGCGGCGACCUGGACGGACACUGACGCUGAGACGCGAAAGCGUGGGGAGCAAACAGG